AAACCCUAAUUCCUCCCAAAUCCCCGCCAGCGCCGCUCCCCCCUUCUACUCUCUCCACAAUCCCCUCCCCUCCCACCCCACCUCGCCGAGCCUCGAUCUGGCCGGAUCUUGCCAAUGCUCACACGGAUCCGGCCUAACCAUCCUGCAGCUGCGGUGGCGGGCCACCAGGACGGCGGCGGGAACCACCAACCCAUAUUGAGACCUCAACGACGGCGGGUACCAAGAACCGAUGCUGCAGCAACCGUGCGCGUCACAAGGAGGGCGGGUGUGGUUGCUGCCGGAGUAGUGAAUGCUGCGCUUGGCGUUGGACCAGCAGGGGUUGGGUGGGCCGCGACGCUUGAUUGGGUCGUUUCCAACUGCCCCGGCAUCGGUGGUGACGAGACGGUGCGCCGGCCAACAUGGCCAUUCAUGCGCAAGGACCCCAUGAAUCUCGUGUACGCGACCAAGGUGACCAUGCCGCUCGCAGCUCCAUCUAGUCAAUCCUCACUGUGGUCAUCGCUUUUGAUUUCAGCAUCGGCCGAUCUCUUUCUUUUCUUUCUGAACACUUUCGAUUGAUUAAGUUGUUUGGGCUGCCCAAAUUGAUGUUUGAAUGUGCCAAAGCUUCUACUCUGUAGGUGCCAGCGUUGAUGACAUAAUUUAUCAAUGGUGGGUUCAGUAGUAACUCAAAUCUGUUGCUGUGAAUGUGCCAGCGUGUGACGGAAUUUAUCAUUGGUGGGUCUAGUAGUAACUCAAAUCUGCUGCUAUGUUGUUUUCAGCCUGGUAAGAUAGUUGUUCAUGCCACUUGCUUAACUGUGUUACCUGUUUUCAACUAGUGUACAAACAAACAAACUCUAGACAUGCAUGAGUAGUGCAAGUAUGCAAUUGAUAGUGCAUCUUACCUGAGAUGGACAAAGUCUUGCUUUGUUUAAUUACACAUAAACAUGGAUGGUAAAAACAAAAUCCCGAUUGAUUACAGAGAAAGCAAGUUGAUACUCCCAUUACUAAGAACAAGCUUGGUUAGUUGAGAGUGUUCUAUGCGAACUUCAGUUAGUUUUCCUGCAUUUUACUAUUCAUAAAUCAUGCGUUCUGAACGCGGUAUAUUGAAUCAAUCCUAUGGAAACUUAGUUCCUAAAGUUUUCCCAUGGAAUUACUCCACUAAGAACAUGCCCUAAGUAGUUUUAUUUGUGAACUGACUAUGUACUAAUGUACAUUGGUCGGCAUUUUGUGUCACUUGUUCUAUGUUUCUGCUGUCUGUAGUUACCCAGUAAUCACCCGACAUUAAUCAUAAGGUUUUUUAUUUGCCCAAUUCUAUAGGUGAUAACAACCCAUUGUUUAUUUUUUAAGUUUGUUUUCAUCAGAAUUUUCAUCAUAAGUACCAAGGAAUUGAAGCAUAGUCACCAUUUUUUUGCUUGUAUAUGUGUGCAUUAGACGUUUUGUAAUUAACUCAUCAAAAAUUAAAAUUGGGUAUGUCCAUGCCAUAUAUGCUCUCUUCUAUUGAGACAUUAUGAUAUGCCACUUUUAGUGUCAUGUUAGCCUGGACAACCUUAUGGUCUGAACCAUUGUACUUGAUGGUUUCUGUCUGUGUAUCUAUGGAUGCACCCAAUAGGUUGUAUAGAAUGUUUAAUGUUUUUCUCAAAUAUGGAAAGUGAAGUUAUGGAAAAUUUCUUUUGAGUAAUUUGAUACUAUAAUAGGUAGUAAUAUAUUUAAUCACAUAUAUUGUCCUUUUGUCUUUCGUGUGGACAUACAUGUUACAUCGCUCACAGAAUGUUACUUGGCUCACUGAAAAUUUGCAUACUUAUCAAACAGCUGCUAAGCUCUCUUUACUUUGGGCACUGUUUACCAGCAUCUCAAUCCCGACCUAGCAGGCCUGCUUACCAGCAUCAACAUGUACUUCUCUCUCCACUUCUCGUCUAGCAAAAAUAUGGAACAUGCACAUUAACUCGUUGACAAGUUUGGUCCAAACAAUAUGGAACAUGGAGGGUGUCUUGUCCUGAGACCUGAGCCAUUCACAUGAUAUUCUAAAAUCCAGAAGAACUAGCUACUCAUAAGUGGAUGACAGUGAACAUGAGAAGCUAUGGUUUCCUGAUUUGUUGUUAUGUGUAGUGUUGUCAUGAAGCAUAGUGGUUCUGGCUUUGUGUAAAAUCAUUAUAAGUAUUGUACCUCUUUAGAGGAGUUCAACGUUGAACUAUGUAUGUGAUUCAUGUACCUGAUGUAUCCACUAUGAUGCCUAUUGCUGAAACGAAUAUAACAAUUUACUGAUAA